UGUUCUGUUAUCACUUGUGUUUUACUGAAGGGAAAAGUUUUAACCUCGUUGAGGUACCUGAACACCUUAACCUAACCGAGGAUAGCACUGAGCGUUGUGGGGAUGGCUAACUAUUAGCUAACGUUAAUUAGCUAAAACUGGACAUGUUUGGUUAGCAAAACCAAGCUUUAUCGUAUCCAACCCAAGCUCAAGACCUCACCUGUUCAUCAGACACUCAGAACAACCGGUUAGCCAGUCCGGUCAGCCGAACUUUCUUGGAACUUCCACCAGCACCGUGAGAGACUGUACUGUUAGCCUAGCCACCCCAAGCUAACCCCCGUCGCCCCAGCAGCCCCGCCCGCGCUGCUGCUGCCGCCGCCGCUGCUGCAGAGAGAGAGAGCGAGGGAGAGAGACACUGACAGAGACAGAGCUUUCAGCAGAGUGAACUUCAGCCACAAAACUUACAUCCAGUCAGCAUGAUGCCUUUCUGAAUUGGAUUAAUUAAAAGGUUUGCUUUGAUGUGAAAGAGACUCCUGUUCCCCAGUUCCACCACAUCACAGAAAGAAGUGGGGGAGGGAAUGAAGAACAAGAAACAUUUGAAAAGAAUGAGAAAAAAAACAAUAGUGGUAGAACAAGAAGCAGAAGGUAAACAAGAAAAGAAGUACAGAUUCCAAAGGUGAUGCUUUAAAUGUUCUGCGUAAAGACAAUAUUCAUUAAGUUACACAUACAUAAGUAGUGUGUAAAGCAGGUGAAAUGCACAUUUAAUGCAACACUGGAUGGAGAUGUAGAGAACGCCAUUAAGAACCUCUACAACUAUAUACAAGAUAAAUGUGUAACUCGGUACAUAUUGACAUUUCUUGUUCCUGGUGACUUUUAUUUUCCAUCUGAAAAGAAUUGCAAUCCAAAACGUCUUUCAGUGUACAACAUUUUUUUUGUGUGUGUAUGUAGAACGAUUUCUUACAGAACCAUUUGAAUGUUUCAGU